rnacentral:tRNA from 1 species
GGGCUGGGGCUCAGUGGUAGAGUGCUUGCCAAGCAUGUGUGAUGUCCUGGGUUCAAUCCUCAGCACCACA